CAUUGACGCUGCAGUAUUUCUUUUUUUAUUAAAAUGACUGCAGAUUUCAAUGAGGAAAUGGUUUAUGCAAACUAGCAUAAUGACAAGUCGUAGCUGCUAUUUAUGCUAUGGGAAAGUUCACUUUUAUGUGAUCGCUUCCUGCUAUUGCGAUAAAAAGAGACGCAGAAAGUAAGUCGCAGUCAAGGACGGAUGACAUAUCGAUCCCUCAUGGACAGAGUGAUCCGGGAAUAGUGGUCGAGGGUAGGAAGAAAGGGGACGUUUUUCCGCAUCCUGAUGGAGACACGGAGGCUGCACAGGGGUGGCAUUUGAAUUCCGCUCGCAGCUCGGCACUGGCAGCAGCAGGCUCCGGAAAUCAAUCACAGUUGACAGCGGAUGGCACAGCGGGGGUGUCAACGCAUUUGUUAAGGUUCGGCUGCCAGCCGGGCUCCCAUUCAUCUCCCAUAGCCCGGCAGUGAGAGACAGGCGGGAGCAGCGCAGCGAGCCGCCCUGAGGGGAGGCUGUACGAUCAGGACGAGCGGAACCAGCAAUUACAGAAGCCGAAGGAAUUCAUGAAGGGAGCUUCGGAAAAUGAAGAACCAAAUCUCCUCUCCUCUCUGUCUCCGGGAGGAGAUCAGUGCCAGCCUGCUGCCAGAACUCCAAACUGCUUUCAGGAAAGUGACUGUGCUGCAUUUACACAUUUUUGCAAAAACCAAUUAAGAUGUCGCAAAUGUGUAAAUCGGCAUUAAAGGCCUAGCAGUGGCACUAAUAAACCAUUGAGGGCUUCGCAUACUGUAUUUCUGUGGAAACUUUAAUUGCCAGUGGGAGACAAAAUCUUCAGUUCCUGUCAGUAAAAUUUUGUGUGGAAAGAA